rnacentral:rRNA from 1 species
GACAGAGGUCCCGAGCGUUAGGCGGAAUCACUGGGCUUAAAGCGUGUGUAGGCGGAGUGCUAAGUACCUUGUGAAAUCCCACGGCUCAACCGUGGAACUGCUUGGUAUACUGGUUCUCUUGAGCCACCUAGGGGCAACCGGAACAAACGGUGGAGCGGUGAAAUGCGUAGAUAUCGUUUGGAACGCCAAUGGUGAAAACAGGUUGCUGGGAGUGUGCUGACGCUGAGACACGAAAGCCAGGGGAGCAAACGGG